rnacentral:tRNA from 1 species
GGCGGAGUAGCUCAGUCGGUGAGAGCGCUCGACUCAUAAUCGAGAGGUCGGCGGUUCGAGUCCGCCCUCCGCUACGA